CAGAAACAGCAACAGCAACAACUGCAGCCAUUCAAUUGCAAUUGUGGUGACCCAAACAUACAGGACGAUUUGCCCACAAGUACAGAAGCGCAGAGUAUCUGUGUGGAUUUUGUGCUUCGUCGACGGCUGCCUAAUGUCAAGGUUUUUUGGCUGCUGUUGAAAGUGCAGCAGCGGCAGCACUAGCAGCGGAAGAACCAGAACAGCCGAAAGAGCACGGCACGUGGCCAACCCACCGUAGAGAAGGGGGCUACAGAAAGGGGGUCGAUUAUGCCAUUACCAGGCCAAUCCUGCACCUUGCCCCCCUCCGGACAACCUCCCUGUUCCGCCUGCCUGCGCCUCGCAUGAAUGAGCAAAAAUGUCGCGACAAACCCGAUUCGAAAGCCAAUGUCAAGUGCACGAGGCAGCAAGGAUAUGAAGGUAGAAGCACUUUACAUGCACCAUGAUACCCCAUUGCUAUAACCCCCAUUUCCCUACACCUCUGACCAUAGGGGUCACAGUGGAGCUUUGAUAAGUGGAAUAUUUUAAGUAUAACACAUUUUGUAUAUAUCAAUACUUUUUAAGAUUCUGUUUAAUUAGUAAUAAUUUAAAAAAUAUUUUUUCUUUCAGCACAUUUAAUUUCGACGGAGACAAGCUCCUCUGUAACUCCACAGGAAGCAUUAUGACCCCCAAACUGGAUGGCACACUCACGUAAAUGGGCGUGUAUCUAUAUUUUAUGUGCCAUCGAUUGCAGUCAAUUUACCGCCCAACCAAAUGCUCUUUCUACAUAGCCUUCUCACACACGAAAAAUGUCUCAUGCAUAAUGACCCAGGCAGGACAUAAUUCAAUACCUCAGGCAGAAUCCACUUAAGCACCAAUUAGACUAACUAUUCGCAUAAUAUUUGCUUAUAUCAAAUAUCAGGGGCAUUUUCAAUUAGCUGGAUAAUUACGGAAAACUAAACUAAAACAACACAACACAUUGAGCUUUUGUAAAAAAUAUAAACUCGCGUUCCAGAACUAGUUCUUACCUAUUAAAAUUAUAAAAUUCCCAGAAGUUAUUUAGUGUAACUCCAUCUUAGAAUCGAACAUGCUUUUUCCAUCUAUUUAACAUUUCAAACUCAAAUCAAAAUUACAAAAGUUACAACACAGAGGCAGAAUAAAAAGUUUCAUUCGAUAUUUAUUCAAUAUUUUAUAUUACUUCGUGUAAGUUCUGAACUUAAUUAUUAUGGAUAACCUAAUGUGAAAUAAAUAUUAUUUUGUUUUUUUUCGUUACUGCCUGACUUUUAGCUGCUGAAGAUUGGCUGCUCGGCGUAAUACAUUUUUAUUCUCAGAAUUCCCUUAAAAAUCUCCGUAAAACUUAGAACUAAACUCAUAAUUCAGACUAAUUUCGAGAAACAAAGUAUCAACGCUUGAAAUGCGGACACAAAUAAAUUACAAGUCUUGGGGGCGCUGAACGGGCCGAAUCUCUGGUGGUUAUCUACACCGCGCACCGCAAAGUAAUAUCGUUGGUUCUCCUGGAACUGAUUCAGGGUUACGGCCAUGGGCAGCAGCAUUGCAUUGACAUCGCCCACAUGCCGCCAGCUGUCCGUACUUGGCUCGUGAAUCGUUUCUUGGUAAGCGUAAAUCUGAUUUAUCCGGAUAACGGGACGCGAGGGAGGCAUUUUCCAGGCGGGAUUGAAGGGCUGGGCAGGCGACGAGGGCAGUGGUGCAGGAUGUGAAUAUCUCAAGCGCGAGGAA